rnacentral:sRNA from 1 species
UGGCUGCGAGAAAUAUUGGUGGGAGUCCGCCAGAGCGCAGUUUCCGCCGUGUGCCCCCACCAAGACCACCUCUCCCUCGUCUCAAGGGCAGAUAGUUCUUGCACGGUAUCUCUCUGGGUCUGCCUGCGUUGGAGAGAGAGUUACAUCGGUUCUCCCCUACGGCAGUCCCUUGGAAGCCCCCUGCCCGAAAGCGCCCAUGGAUCGUCGAUAUCAGCAUCAUCCCUGACCUGAAUAUGUGAGCCCUUGAGCCCCGCUGCCAUAGCUCCCAAGAAAAGCCUACUACGCCGUACGUAUCAUUCUUACUCAAAUUUAAAUACUAACCCCCUUUUUUCUUUCCCUUUGUCUACAUAUUUUCUCUCAGAUGUCAAUCAGCCCCAAAGCCAGACACCAAAUCACGGCCAGACCACCAUUAUUCAACAUUUGAUACGCACGAUGACCCAAAUCGCCAAAAUGAAACAAGCAGCUAUCUCAGCCAAUCAAGUCGUUGCUAUCGGCAAAAACUAGCUUCCCAAGCCCACUCAUGAUUUCUUUUUUUCAGUUUGCUUGCGUGCCCUCCUCCCCCAUUUUUUUCGCGAAGUCUCCUCCUCCACGAAUUAGCUCAUCCACUAACCAGGUAAGUUCAGGCCAGUCCCCGCCAGACUUGUGCUAAAACCCGACUACUCCGAAAGCAAGGCUUUCAUAGGGGCAAAGAGCCAAAAAAGAAAGAUAGCAUCUUGCAGAUCGCAAGCGAUCAGUCCUUAGGAUAGCGUUCGCUUCGUUGGCUCUUGCGCAUCAAUCGUCCUUCAUGUGAACGGUGGUGGUCCAUCACUGGCUAACUCUAAUCAGGACGGCUGAGCACGAGCUCGUGACGAUGGUGAUAGUGCACGCUAUGGUGGUCACAGCUUUUGGUGAUAGUCAGGAAAGACGAGACAGGAGCACCAUACAUUUCCAUUUCCUUGAUAUCGGAACUGCGAGCAGGAAUAAAUAAAUAGUAGAUAAUAAAAAUAAAUAAUAAAUAUACAUGCCAUGCACGGCUUGAAAACUUGCUUUUAUGCAUGUUACCGGAUUGCCAAAUCUUUGGAGCACAACGCGCGGAAGCUCUCCACUCCCGCCAAGAUCGGAGGUUUAAAGGGGGGAAAUUUACGAAAAAGGAAAGGAAGAAAAAGAAAAGAAAAAACGGUCAAAACAUGUAAAAAAGAAAAGAAAAGAAAA